AGCAAAAAAAAUCAUGGUAAUAUUACAUCUAAGAAGGGGUACAUCUAUUAUGUCACAAAAAAUAUGUAAUUUUACCUCUGAUAAUGUGUAGUUUAGCACUUUUCUGCUGUAAUGCCAUUUUUCAGUUUAAAUUGAUGUAAAAUUACAUCAUAAAAGAGGUAAUACUCAACCUUUCAAAUUUACACUAUUUUUUACUGUGUAGCUUUAACUGGCAAAGAAUCUAAACAUGAAACAACUAUUGCUGAUGCAAUGACGCUAAUCCUUAUCAUCCAGUAGUAUAAAUAAAGAGAACAAAUCACUUCGAGCCAGUUCCAGUCUUUUGGUAAAUCUAGCCGGUUUGAUUUGUACCCUGGGAGUCGAUCCACAGUUUGAGAGCACCAUGAAGUUGACUGCACUGUUCUUGAUGAUGCUGAUCUUCAUCCUCGGCUUCGUACAGGCGCUUGCCCAAGACUCGAACUCGGACUCGAACUCGGGCGAAGUUUGAUGAUCAUCAUAUAUGAUAUACCAGUUGUGCAAUGUUUUUCAAUAAAUGAGACAUUUGAGUAAAAAUCACA